GCCAGAAGGUUCCUGAAUCCUGGCUGCCUGUGGCAUCAUCAGGAAGUGAAGCUGUGUGCAGCAGGGCCACCAUUCCCAGGGCCGCUGGGGCCCCUCUCGCAGUUGGUAAGGGGAGUUCGUCCCUGCUUGCCUCUGAGAGGAAGGCCAAGGGGUUAUGGGCCAGGCCCAGGGUCGCUGUGUUCCCCAGUGCCUUUCCCCGACCUCAUUCUGUGACUCCAGGCAGAUGGCCUUCCUCUCUGGGCCUGGGUCUCUCUGGCUGUAGAAAUGGAGGGAGGGGGUCAGGGGAGAGCUUGCAUGGGACGACCUAUCCUUGCUUCCACCAUUUUGCGCCUUGAUCACGGUGGACUCUCAGGGUCUGUGGCCCUCCUUCCCUGUCUGUACUGAUUCCCCUACAGCCACCCAAGACCUAGUUCACCAUCCGUGGGCCUGAAGGGACCCCACUGUCACACCAGCGUCAUGGAUCCUGAGCAGGGGGCUCAUGAGGUCAGUGGCCACACCUGAAGACAAGCUUCUAGUAAGUUGGAGGAGUCGGGGCUGGGCCCUGGGGUCCACCUGAGCCCCGGGUGGUCCAUCCUCGGGGAGCCAGGUAGAGGUCACCAGGUCACAAGUCCACAGGUAGGCUAUACAGAGCCUCCCACGCAGGGGGAGCUCUGGCCGGUGCAGUCCCUACCGCCUUCACGACGCCUGGUCUCUUGUUCCUGCUGCUUUGGAAAGUGGCCUUCGAGAGCCUGGUUAAGUGCUAUGGCCCCUGAGAAGGGGACACUUGGGAAACUGCUAUGAGGCCCUAACACUCCUUAAGUACAUUUUAAAUUGAAAGUUAAUACGUAUAUGGGGUGAGUGCCUCCGGUUUUCCCCUACCCCCAGAGACCACCCAUCACCUGGCUGUUAUGAAUCCUUGAGGUCUUACUGGGGCUGAGUGGAGGAGAGGGACGAGGGGUGCACAGAAGAAUCUACCCAUCAGAUGUAGAGGUGCGGGAUGGGGAGCAAUGGGGUGCUUGUGCCCGGGCUCCUGCCUGGAACAGCUGGUGAGUGUUUGUAGCGUCCCUGUGGGGGCAAUCUGUAAAGAGCAUUCUAGAUGGGAGACAACUGGUUAGGUUUAGGACACACUGGGUCUGGGGAUGCCCAAAGGACAGGGAGGAGGUUGCCUGGCACAGCAGACUGGCCAGGUACAUCUCACCAGCUACAAAUGCACCUUCAACCUUCCCUGUCUCUCUAGAAGCUUCCCCCCCGCACGGUCCCAGCAACUAUCCUGUACAUUCUCCGUUUUCCACAAGACACUGACCUCCUCCCCACCCAGCCCCUUUCCCACCACAUGUCCGGCCCCUGCUCCAGGGUGGGCACAAUCUUGCCUUAGACCCCAGGGAAGCGGGAAAUGUCCCUCCGCCCAAUAUCAGCAGGCCUGUAUUUCCCAAAGCUCCAGCUCUGCCCCCCACCAACCUUCCCUGAGCUCAGCCCUCCUUCCUGGAUCUCCAAGCCCUCACGCCCUUGGCAAAGGACCCCAAUCCCAUCCAAAUCUGCUCGAGACCAUGCUUCUGGGCCCCAUGCCCCACCAGCUCCUGCCUCUCUCGACGUCGUGGCAAAUUUCCCAUUUGCUCCCCAGGCCCACGCCCACUGGGACCUUGAGACCAUCCUUGGCCAAGUCCCCGUAAACUCGAUGCCACCUCCCAGCUCUGCCUUGUGUGUCUCAGUGCGGUUGGUACCGUCAACAACUGCCCCAUCUACCACCUCGUCUCCGUCCCUGAUGUCACCCUCUCCCGUUUCCCCUCCCCACUCCACCUCUCAGUUGCUCCCUCUCCAGGGCCCUGACGGGAUUUCUCCUCAAUCUGCCCUUAAAUGCCCAAGUCCCUCAAGGUGCCCCAGAGGCCCUGCCUCUCCUCACUCACACCCUCUCCACCCUUUGCUGUAACUGCCAUCUGUAUGCUGUUGCCUCUGUCCCCAAAGGUCCAGCCCAGCACUGGACUCUAUACCCAUAUGACAACACCCACCCGGCAGCUCACCGUCUUACUCGAGCUAAAAUGUGGAGGUGGUUUUCUGUCACCUCCCCAAGCAAUUGGAACCAAGCCAAGAGUGUUCAGUUUUGCUGAUACAUUUCUGAGACCCACUCUCUCAUUUGCAUCCCCACUGCCUCCCUGGUCCGGGGGCUAUUCUCACUCUGCCCGUGACUGGGAUAACUUCUGACCUCUUCUGCCCAGGUCCACUGUUGCUGAAAACAAUCUCCACUGCCUAGAACAUUCAGUGGUUCCCCAAGCCCUUGGAAUAAAAUCCAUAAUGCAUAAUUCUGCCCUCUGCCCUCUUUUCUAACCUCAUCGCCUACCACUCCAACCACAAAAGUCCAUUCGUCCCUCAUGCAUCAUGCACUCCCUGCCUCGGGUCCUUUGCACGUGCAGUUGCUGCUGUUCGAACGUACUUCCCACUUGCACAUGACUCCCUCUGCUUCAGCUAGCUAAUGCCUAACACAGCUUGGUCUUAGCCCAAACAUCACUCCUGAGCGCAGUCUUCCCUGAAGACCAUCAUACUCUCAUAGCAAGCACCUGCUCUGUCUCCCUUGUAGCUUACUUUUUGUGAGAUUACUUGUUAAUAUGGGUCUUUCGCCUGCAGAGGGGAUGCUCCGUGAGGACAGGAACUGGGGCUGUUCCGUUCCCAGCACGGAUUCUCACUAAAUAUUUGUGGAUUGGCUAAAAGUAUCCAAGCAGAGAUGUUAACUGACAGAACCUGUGCACCAGGCACCAGGGAUACGGGAGAAGAUGUCGAAAGCCCUUUAGCAGGUAGAGGAGACAGACAACAGACAGGUGCACGGAUGAUUCCAUCCUUGGCCUUCAGUGCUCAUCAGUGUGAUGGCAGGAACGCAGGGUGAGGGCGAAAGGCUCCAGGGUGACCAGAGCCUCUCUUUGCUGUGGGGUGGGGGCAGGACUAGGCUCCUUAGGUAGGAUAGUCAGGGAAGGCCUCUCUGAGGAGGUGACGUCGUCCUAUCAGAGACCUGAGUGACUUGAGAGAGCCAUGUGAGGAGAGGGAAGGAAGAGAGCCACGUGAGGAGGGGGAGGAGGCAUGCCAGGCAGAGGGCAGAUAUUCAUUUCCUGCUCUAACUAGCACCACAAAUUUAAACAAUGGAAAUCCAUUGGUGCACAGUUCUGGAGGCCAGAGGUCCAAAGUCAAGUGGUCAGCAGGGUUCAUUCUUUCUGAAGGCUGUAGGGAGAAUCUGUCCCAGGCCCCUCUCCUAAUUUCCAGAGAUUUGCUGGCAAGCUGUGGUGUUCCUCGGUCUGUAGAUGCAACCCCCUGACCUUCACCUUCAUCCUCCCGUGUUCUUCCCAUGUGAGUGUGGGUCCAAAUGUCUCCUUCCUGUAGGAGCACCAGUUAUACUGGGUCAGGGGCCCACCCGACGCCAAUACGACCCCAUCUUAACUCAUUACAUCUGCAGUGACCCUAUUGCCAAAUAAGGCCACAUUCAGAGCUACUGGGGGUGUGAGUGUAAUAUAUGUACCUAGGGGGACACAUUUAACCCAUCACCGAGAGCCUCUAGAGGAAGGGCCUGGUAGGAGGAACGGCAGAGAGCGUGGCUGCAACAGACAGCGAGGGGCAGGGAGCGGCUGGAUGGAGGCGGGACAGGCAGGCACCUCACACAAGUCCUUGCUGGAGUUUAUUCCAAGUGCAGUGGGGAGUGCGGCGGGUCUGAGAUAUGACUCCCGUUUGCAAACAUCCUUCUGGCUGCCAUGUGGAGACUCACUGGCACAGAGUGAGUGAGUCUGGAUGUGGGAGCCCUUUGAACCUGAGAGGUGAGGAGGCCCAUCAAGAGUGCGGUGGGAGACCAGACAGUGUUCCAGAAAGGACAGGCUCCACACGUACACUGGAUGAGCCAGAGGGCCAGUGGGAUUUCUGGAGCCAGCAGCUCCAAGGACCGAGAAAGGCUGAGCCCUCUGUGCGCACCCAGGUCGGGAGGGGACUGAGAAGCGUCUGGUGUGGUCGGUAGCCAGGGGGCUUUGGUGGUCUGGUCUGCGGCUCAGAGACCAAACUGACCCCUGAACUCCAGGCUGGGAAAGAAGGGACCAUCCAUGAAGCUGAGGGCCUCCGAAGAGAGGAAGCCGGGGGCUAACCGGGCCUGGGGUGCAAGAAGAGAAGCCCCUCAAGGAGACUGGGACGGUCCAGAUGGGGGGUGGGGGAGAACAGGAGAGGACGGGGCUGCCGCGCGACGAAGCAGGGCAUUCCAGAAGGUGGAAGCUGUCACCCGUGGGCUGUGGGCACUAAGGUUGGACGGAGACGAGGACAGACUGGGCCCCUGGGCUUGGUGACUGGAAAGCUUUGGGGGCCCUCCACCAGAAGAGCUGGAGGAGAGGGGGGCUGGUGCACGAGGCUGGAAAGCCACCCGAGAGGAGAAAGGAAGGAGAGAGAGGAGGGAGGCAUCUGAGUAUGUUAGUUCUCUGAGGGGAGGCAGCAGGGACAAGGAACAAGUGCAAGUGCGGCAACUAGUGACCAGAUGAGGCCAAGGGUGCAGACGGACGCGCGGUAGGGUACACAGGGCUUAAUUCAACCGCCUGCCUUUCCGGGGUAAACCGAUCUCUCCUGUGUCCCCCCCGGGGCGGGUGACAGCGAUGCACGUAGGCACGAGUCUCGUGCUGCCUCUGGGCCGGGAGGGUGUAUGGCCCAUCUUCUGUUCCCUAGGCCACUUGCAAUCGUAAGUAAGCCAUACAGCGCACGAGUCUGAAGUGUCCAGCUCGGUGAUUGUUUAAUCACGCCCACACCCAGGCCACCGGCCCCCAGAUCAAGAUACACAGCAAUUUCAUCCUCCUGGAAGGCUCCGUGGCACCCCCUCCCAGUUAGCACCCCCACCUGCCAGAAGCGAUUACAACCCUGACGUCCGUCACCCACGAGGGGUUGUGCGCGUUCUCGAACGUCGCGUGAACGGAACCCGUGUGUUCCCUGUGUCUGGCUUCUUUCGCAGAACGUCCGCGCGCACGCGUAGGCAGAGAGAAAAGCCGCGAACGUCUGCGCGCACGCGUAGGGCAGACCGUCGCACUACCUUCCGCUGCGGGCCUUCCCAGCAGUAACUGGGCCAGAGGGCAGGCGUAGGCUUCACUUUUACAGAUGCUGCCAAACAGUUUUCCACACUGAUGGUGCCAAUUUACACCCGACAAGCUGCCAUGUCCUGAGACACUUCGGGAGCCCUCUGGAGAGCCCACACGGUGAGGAACUGGGGCCUCCUGCCAAUAGUCAUGUCAGUGCGCCAUCUUGGAGGCGGAUUCUCCAGCCCCAGCCAAACCUUCAGUUCACCAGAGUCCCGGCCGUUAGCUUGACCACACCUCCCGGGAGAACCUGAGCCAGAACCACUCAACCAGGCUGCUCCAGGAUUUCUGACCCUCAGAAACUGUGUGAGAGAAUAAAUACUUGUUGUGUUGUGCUGCUUA